UUAAGUGAACAAGGGCAUACGGCGGAUGCCUUGGCGCCAAGAGCCGAUGAAGGACGCGGUAAGCUGCGAAAAGGCAUGGGUAGGAGCAAGCAUCCUGUGAUCCAUGCAUAUCCGAAUGGGGCAACCCACCAUCAGUCAUGUGAUGGUACGAAAGAGGCAGACCUGGGGAACUGAAACAUCUAAGUACCCAGAGGAAAAGUAAUCAAUUGAGAUUCCCUAAGUAGCGGCGAGCGAAAGGGGAAGAGCCCAAACCAUGAAACUUCGGUUUUGUGGGGUUGAGGACCGGCAAAAAGAGGAAACUUCUUAGUCGAAUGGUUUGGAAAGGCCAUGCACAGAAGGUAAAACACCUGUAGGCGAAAAGAAGUCAAUCGGGCUGGUAUCCAGAGUACUGCGAGACACGUGAAACCUUGCAGGAAGCAGGGGGGACCACCCUCCAAGGCAAAAUACUACUUGGCGACCGAUAGCGCAUAGUACCGUGAGGGAAAGGUGAAAAGAACCCCGGGAGGGGAGUGAAAUAGAACCUGAAACCGUAUGUCUACAAGCAGUCGAAGCACCUUAAGAGUGCGACGGCGUGCCUAUUGAAGAAUGAACCGGCGAGUUACAUUAUGUUGCGAGGUUAAGUGGGAGACACGGAGCCGAAGCGAAAGCGAGUCUUAAUAGGGCGACUAGUAACAUGGUGUAGACCCGAAACCGCAGUGAUCUAUCCAUGGUCAGGUUGAAGCGCAGGUAAAAAUGCGUGGAGGACCGAACCCGUGAGUGUUGAAAAACUUUGGGAUGAACCGUGGAUAGGGGUGAAAUGCCAAUCGAACGCGGAGAUAGCUGGUACUCCCCGAAAUAGCUUUAGGGCUAGCCUCAGGGAAGAUUAUAGACGGUAGAGCACUGAUCUGGCAAGGGGGCGUAAAGCCUACCGACCCUAGUCAAACUUCGAAUGGCUAUAAUUAAGACCCUGGGAGUCAGACUGCGAGUGAUAAGACCCGUAGUCAAGAGGGAAACAGCCCAGACCGCCGACUAAGGUCCCCAAUGCUGUACUAAGUGGAAAAGGAUGUAAGACUUCAUAAACAACCAGGAUGUUGGCUUAGAAGCAGCCACCAUUAAAAGAGUGCGUAAUAGCUCACUGGUCGAGAGGCCUUGCGCCGAAGAUGUCCGGGGCUCAAGUACAGAACCGAAGUCGCGGCAGGAUUAUAUAAUUCUGGGUAGGGGAGCGUUGUAUAUCCGACUGAAGGUGUACCGGAAGGAGCGCUGGAGGAUAUACAAGAGAGAAUGCCGGUAUGAGUAGCGAAAAGAACAGUGAGAAUCUGUUCCACCGAAAGCCUAAGGUUUCCUGAGCAACGCUCGUCGACUCAGGGUAAGUCGGGACCUAAGCCGAGGCAAAAAGCAUAGGCGAUGGACAACAGGUUAAUAUUCCUGUACCGCUUCAAAUCGUUUGAGCAAUGGAGUGACACAGAAGGUAGCUUGAGCACGCGAAUGGAUGUGCGUGUCGAAGGUGGUAGAUUGCAGUAUAGGCAAAUCCGUACUGUAUAAGAUCGAGAACUGAUAGAUAGACGAUACUUCGGUAAAGUCAAAUUCAAGUGAGCCAUGCUGUCGAGAAAAGCUUCUAGUGAGAGAUGAGGCGCCCGUACCGAAACCGACACAGGUAGGCGGGGAGAGAAUCCUAAGGUGCGCGGGACAACCCUCGUUAAGGAACUCGGCAAAUUGUAUCCGUAACUUAGGGAUAAGGAUAGCCGGAGGAUGUGAAGGGAUUUACUUCUGGAGCGUCAGCCGGUGGCACAAGAGAGGCCCAAGCGACUGUUUAGCACAAACACAGGUGCCUGCAAAAGAGAAAUCUGACGUAUAGGUGCUGACACCUGCCCGGUGCUGGAAGGUUAAGAGGAGGGCUUAGAGGCAACUCGAAGGCUUGAAUUGAAGCCCCAGUAAACGGCGGCCGUAACUAUAACGGUCCUAAGGUAGCGAAAUUCCUUGUCGGGUAAGUUC
rnacentral:rRNA from 1 species